rnacentral:rRNA from 1 species
GUUGAACGCUGGCGGCAGGCUUAACACAUGCAAGUCGAGCGGAGAUGAGGUGCUUGCACCUUAUCUUAGCGGCGGACGGGUGAGUAAUGCUUAGGAAUCUGCCUAUUAGUGGGGGACAACAUUCCGAAAGGAAUGCUAAUACCGCAUACGUCCUACGGGAGAAAGCAGGGGAUCUUCGGACCUUGCGCUAAUAGAUGAGCCUAAGUCGGAUUAACUAGUUGGUGGGGUAAAGGCCAACCAAGGCGACGAUCUGUAGCGGGUCUGAGAGGAUGAUCCGCCACACUGGGACUGAGACACGGCCCAGACUCCUACGGGAGGCAGCAGUGGGGAAUAUUGGACAAUGGGGGGAACCCUGAUCCAGCCAUGCCGCGUGUGUGAAGAAGGCCUUAUGGUUGUAAAGCACUUUAAGCGAGGAGGAGGCUACUGAGACUAAUACUCUUGGAUAGUGGACGUUACUCGCAGAAUAAGCACCGGCUAACUCUGUGCCAGCCGCCGCCGUAACAC